CCUACGGGUGGCAGCAGUGGGGAAUAUUGGACAAUGGGCGAAAGCCUGAUCCAGCCAUGCCGCGUGUGUGAAGAAGGCCUUCGGGUUGUAAAGCACUUUCAGUGGGGAAGAAAGCCUUGGGGCUAAUACCCUCGAGGAAGGACAUCACCCACAGAAGAAGCACCGGCUAACUCCGUGCCAGCAGCCGCGGUAAUACGGAGGGUGCGAGCGUUAAUCGGAUUUACUGGGCGUAAAGCGCGCGUAGGCGGUCUGAUAAGCCGGUUGUGAAAGCCCCGGGCUCAACCUGGGAACGGCAUCCGGAACUGUCAGGCUAGAGUGCAGGAGAGGAAGGUAGAAUUCCCGGUGUAGCGGUGAAAUGCGUAGAGAUCGGGAGGAAUACCAGUGGCGAAGGCGGCCUUCUGGACUGACACUGACGCUGAGGUGCGAAAGCGUGGGUAGCAAACAGGAUUAGAUACCCCAGUAGUC
rnacentral:rRNA from 1 species